UGGGGAAUAUUGGACAAUGGGGGGAACCCUGAUCCAGCCAUGCCGCGUGUGUGAAGAAGGCCUUAUGGUUGUAAAGCACUUUAAGCGAGGAGGAGGGUACUGGUAUUAAUACUACCAGCUACUGGACGUUACUCGCAGAAUAAGCACCGGCUAACUCUAUGCCAGCAGCCGCGGUAAUACAGAGGGUGCGAGCGUUAAUCGGAUUUACUGGGCGUAAAGCGUGCGUAGGCGGCUAAUUGAGUCGGAUGUGAAAUCCCCGAGCUUAACUUGGGAAUUGCAUUCGAUACUGGUUAGCUAGAGUGUGGGAGAGGAUGGUAGAAUUCCAGGUGUAGCGGUGAAAUGCGUAGAGAUCUGGAGGAAUACCGAUGGCGAAGGCAGCCAUCUGGCCUAACACUGACGCUGAGGUACGAAAGCAUGGGGAGCAAACAGG
rnacentral:rRNA from 1 species